rnacentral:rRNA from 2 species
GAUUGGUGCUUGCAUCAUGAUUUACAUUUGAGUGAGUGGCGAACUGGUGAGUAACACGUGGGAAACCUGCCCAGAAGCGGGGGAUAACACCUGGAAACAGAUGCUAAUACCGCAUAACAACUUGGACCGCAUGGUCCGAGUUUGAAAGAUGGCUUCGGCUAUCACUUUUGGAUGGUCCCGCGGCGUAUUAGCUAGAUGGUGGGGUAACGGCUCACCAUGGCAAUGAUACGUAGCCGACCUGAGAGGGUAAUCGGCCACAUUGGGACUGAGACACGGCCCAAACUCCUACGGGAGGCAGCAGUAGGGAAUCUUCCACAAUGGACGAAAGUCUGAUGGAGCAACGCCGCGUGAGUGAAGAAGGGUUUCGGCUCGUAAAACUCUGUUGUUAAAGAAGAACAUAUCUGAGAGUAACUGUUCAGGUAUUGACGGUAUUUAACCAGAAAGCCACGGCUAACUACGUGCCAGCAGCCGCGGUAAUACGUAGGUGGCAAGCGUUGUCCGGAUUUAUUGGGCGUAAAGCGAGCGCAGGCGGUUUUUUAAGUCUGAUGUGAAAGCCUUCGGCUCAACCGAAGAAGUGCAUCGGAAACUGGGAAACUUGAGUGCAGAAGAGGACAGUGGAACUCCAUGUGUAGCGGUGAAAUGCGUAGAUAUAUGGAAGAACACCAGUGGCGAAGGCGGCUGUCUGGUCUGUAACUGACGCUGAGGCUCGAAAGUAUGGGUAGCAAACAGGAUUAGAUACCCUGGUAGUCCAUACCGUAAACGAUGAAUGCUAAGUGUUGGAGGGUUUCCGCCCUUCAGUGCUGCAGCUAACGCAUUAAGCAUUCCGCCUGGGGAGUACGGCCGCAAGGCUGAAACUCAAAGGAAUUGACGGGGGCCCGCACAAGCGGUGGAGCAUGUGGUUUAAUUCGAAGCUACGCGAAGAACCUUACCAGGUCUUGACAUACUAUGCAAAUCUAAGAGAUUAGACGUUCCCUUCGGGGACAUGGAUACAGGUGGUGCAUGGUUGUCGUCAGCUCGUGUCGUGAGAUGUUGGGUUAAGUCCCGCAACGAGCGCAACCCUUAUUAUCAGUUGCCAGCAUUAAGUUGGGCACUCUGGUGAGACUGCCGGUGACAAACCGGAGGAAGGUGGGGAUGACGUCAAAUCAUCAUGCCCCUUAUGACCUGGGCUACACACGUGCUACAAUGGAUGGUACAACGAGUUGCGAACUCGCGAGAGUAAGCUAAUCUCUUAAAGCCAUUCUCAGUUCGGAUUGUAGGCUGCAACUCGCCUACAUGAAGUCGGAAUCGCUAGUAAUCGCGGAUCAGCAUGCCGCGGUGAAUACGUUCCCGGGCCUUGUACACACCGCCCGUCACACCAUGAGAGUUUGUAACACC